CUUCAGCCGGCGCUACCAUUCCGGGGGGAAAAAAGGGGGGAGUUUAUGAGAGUUACCCCAUGCCGUUCGCGCCUACGCAUGUCUCUAGCACUGCGGACAAACUGGAAGAGAAACGCGCAGCAGGGAGGAAAGCGAGAAGAAAUUAUCUGUGAAACCUGGGGAAUUGGAGCAGAGAUCCAGUAACUCUACCAAGAUGGAACAUCCAACAGAGAACCUCUGGCAUCCGUACUCCUUGGUCACUCUUGUCCUUUGCUUGAUGUACACUCUGAUUUGAUACAAUGGAUUCUGCUACUAUAGAGGAUAAGCCGAUUGUUCAGCAUGAGGGGAGUGUCUGACCUAUAAGAGAAACUGAGUAGAUAACAUUAAUCUGUACAUUUCAGCUUCAUGUACUCACAAUAAGUAUCUAUACAAGCUAGAUGCCAAGCCACAGUUGUCUAAUGUAACCUAUUUAUCUGAAAUGUUCAUUCUGCAGUUACGGGUAUGAAACACUAACUCUAAUUUAGCAUGAAAGUUGUUUCCCACUCUCCUUCUCCCCUUGUAACAUCGCUGCAUGGAGGAGACCAAAAGCAUUUGGUUUCUCUUUUGACUAAUCAUAGUUUACUGUUAUAUGUGAACUCAGGUAUUGUUUUUAAUUAUGUCUGUCUACAUCACAUGUGUCAAACUCAAGGCCCAUAGACCAAAUCCGGCCUGCCAUGUUAUUUAUGUGAUCCCCAGAUGUUGGACUACAACUCCUGUAUUCCUCAUCAUUAGACAUAAUGACUGGAACUAAUGGGAGCUGUGAUACAAUAACAUCUGGAAGGCUGCAGUUUGGUCUGUUUAGUGAGGAUAGUGGGAUCUGAAUUUAGAUACAAAACUUGUGGAUAUGUUCUCUGACUUUAAAAUGUCCUUUAACCUUAUCCAAAACCCAUUAUCUACAGUCUGCAUGGUGGAUCAUCAAGUGACUGGAGCUGUUGUCUAAUAACAUCUAAGUACACAAAUUGGUAAAAAUUAAAGAACAUUGACCAUUAUUUAAAAAUAUAUAGUUUGCCCGUUGUAUCCACAGAUUCUCAGUCUAUGGAUUCAACAACCUUUUGAAGGCAAUCAUAAGGCUGAUGUGGCCCUCGAUGAAAAUGAGUUUGACACCCGCAAUCUAAAUGAACAGAUUAAAGCAAUUCUGUUCAGAUAAACAAAGUAUAAUCACUGUUCUCAGUUCAAACAUUAUGAUAAAUUGCCAUCACUGAAAAACCAUACCAAAUAUUUUCAAUUGCCUUCUGAUUACCAGUAAAACUAUAGAAGAACCGGAAGAAUGAGAAAGCUUUUAAAUCAGCCUAAUAACAAUUAAAGAAGUUGUAGUGGUUUGAGCAUUGGACUAUGACUCUAGAAGCUAGAGCUUGAAUCUUCACUCAACCAUGGCACCCACUGGGUGAACUUCAGCAGGUCACACUCUCCCAGCCUCAGAGGAAGGCAACUCCCCUCUGAACAAAUAUUGCCAAGGAAGCCCAAUGAUGGUUCACCUCAGGGUUGGCAUAAAUCAGAAACAACUUCAACUCACACAAUAGUGGCAAUGCAACAAUCGGGCUUGUUGUGUGUGUUUUUGGGCUGUAUGGCCAUGUUCCAGAAGCAUUCUCUCCUGAUGUUUUACCCACAUCUAUAGCAGGCAUCCUCAGAGGUUGUGAGGUAUAUAU